AGUGACGACUGACGGCGGUAGCUUAACACAUGCAAGUCGAGGGGCAGCAUAGGGUAGCAAUACUCUGAUGGCGACCGGCAAACGGGUGAGUAACGCGUAUGCAACCUACCCUGUACAGGGGAUAACCCGGAGAAAUUCGGACUAAUAUCCCGUAAUAAUAUCCGGAGGCAUCUUUGGAUAUUUAAAGUUCCGACGGUACGGGAUGGGCAUGCGUAACAUUAGCUGGUUGGUAAGGUAACGGCUUACCAAGGCUAUGAUGUUUAGGGGUCCUGAGAGGGUGGUCCCCCACACUGGUACUGAGACACGGACCAGACUCCUACGGGAGGCAGCAGUGAGGAAUAUUGGUCAAUGGGCGCAAGCCUGAACCAGCCAUCCCGCGUGCAGGAAGACGGCCCUAUGGGUUGUAAACUGCUUUUCCAGGGAGAGAAACUUACGCACGUGUUGCGUGACUGACGGUACCCUGGGAAUAAGCAUCGGCUAACUCCGUG
rnacentral:rRNA from 1 species